AAUAAGUGCAGUUUUGCACUAUUCAUCUCCAACAUUUAACAAUUUGUCUUAUUUGAAAAAAAUUUAUGAUUACUAUUUUUAUUGUUAUUAGAUGAUAAAACAUGAAUAGUACUUUAUGUGUGACUAGUUUUUUUUAAAAAAAAAUCAUAAAUUUUUCAAAUAAGACGGAUGGUCAAACGUUGGACACGGAUUUCCACGACUGCACUUAUU
rfam:Oryza sativa Japonica Group DNA, chromosome 2, cultivar: Nipponbare, complete sequence.